rnacentral:rRNA from 1 species
UACGGAGGGUGCAAACGUUGCUCGGAAUCAUUGGGCGUAAAGCGCACGUAGGCGGCUUCGCAAGUCGGGUGUGAAAGCCCUCGGCUUAACCGAGGAAGUGCAUUCGAAACUACGAGGCUUGAGUACUGAAGAGGGUCGCGGAAUUCCCGGUGUAGAGGUGAAAUUCGUAGAUAUCGGGAGGAACACCAGUGGCGGAGGCGGCGACCUGGGCAGAUACUGACGCUGAGGCACGAAGGUCAGGGAGCAAACGGG